GGGGAGUGUGGGGGCAAAUCCUAAAUUUCAAAUUCAAACUGAACAGGGCCUGCAAAGCAAACCUAGCCAAGAAACCUGACUAGUGGUUUAUUAUGCAUCCCUCAAUGUGCUAAACUACUAAGUGUAGGACAAUGGGGUUUUAUUGCAUGUAGAUGGAAGAGACGGCUGAAAAGGGUAUGUGAUUGAAGGGCUGCAGUCAGGGGUAUGAGCUCAAGUGGCCUGCUCAAGGUAAAGAGUGCCAUCUAUUGACGAAACCAGGGAGCACCCCUUUUGUCUCUCAACAAAAGGUUGCUUCGCCGACCAACUGUAAGCAGUGCACUGUGUUCAUUCCUCCCUUCCCUCUCCGCCUCUGAAAGGCAUUCAGUGCCUCUUCUGUGGCAGAGUUCUUGGUUCGCUUUGAAGGUGACUCGCAGUUCAUGUUUUCCCACUCGUGCUGAACUUGACAAGAAUCAAUAAAGACCUCUGUGUAUGCAGGUUUUGUAAAUCAUCCAGUUAACGUUUGCCUGCUAGGAGAUGUAAAGUGUCGUGCAAGUGUGUAGUCAUCUCGGAGAGUUAUUUCUUUAAUCCAGUUCAAAAAAACAAAAUCGUCUCUGCAUCGAGAGCCAUCUGAGGCAAUUUUAUGACUAUUUUUUGCAUUUUUCGGGGUUGUGUGAUUAUUUGAAUUAGGCCUGUUCUCUAAUGAAUCCCAACUAAGUGUGUCUGAAAUGAACUGUUGCUCUUUAUCGCACACUUUUCUUCUUCUGUCUCCCCUCUCUCUCUCUCUCCUGCUCAGUGGAGGAGUUGGCAGCCCGUGCAGAGGAGGUGAGGCGGAUGGAGGGGUGUCUGAAUGAAGGCAAGCUAGCAGAGGAGAAAAUAAGGUCAAUGGCUGCGGGGCUGAAGAAGGAGCUGACAGAGGCUGUCCAUCAGAAACUCACAGCAGAGAGAGAGAAACAGGAUGCACUGGACCAGGUGAUCACGCUCCGGUCAGAGCUGGAGGGGACGCGGUCCGACAAUGCAAAGCUUCUGCACGAGAGCCAGCUGGUCAUGACUAAUGUCAACCUUUGGAUCACUGAGCAAAAGGCUUCCAGUGAGAGCGUUAUUGCCCAGAUUAAAGCCCAAAACAAAGCUCUGCUCAUCAUCACUAAAGAGAAAGAAUGUCUUCAGGAGGCUAAUGACACACUGAAGGCGGAGGUAAAGAGACUGAAAGAAGCGGUGGAUGAGAAGGAGAAAGACAUGGAACUCUUCAAGGCCCGUCUCCGGGACUGGGGAGUACAGCAAGAAAGGAAAACCAUGGAAAAGAAGGGGUGCGUUGCUCUAAACCUCAGCAAAAUCGAGGACAUGCAGACCAGACUGCAAAGCAACCUGGAGGCCAUCGGAAUGCUAAAUCAACAAUUAGGCAAUCUCAGUCAGGAGAAUAAGCAGUUGCGUAGGCAGCUGGAAGAAGAGAGGUCCAUGCAUAGACAAGUGGAGAGGAGUGGGCCCCUUCCUCCUCCCUCUACAACCGCCAUCCACCUCCCACUCUCUCUCAGUGUCAGCCCUCCUAUCUGUGCCUCCCUUCCCUCAUCCCAGGGCCUGCCUCGUCUUCUGAGCAUAGUCCCAGUGACAGGGGACACUAAUGGGACUCAAACCAAGCCGAGUACAGUCGGAGUAGAGAGACCAGAUGGACCGCGGGGGGAAGCUGGUUUGAUUUUAGAUGAGCAGCGUCGUCCGGCGCUGUGGUCUCAAUAG
ensembl:lncRNA